UUCUUCGGAUGAAGUAUGAUAUGACUGAGUGGCGGACGGGUGAGUAGCGCGUGAGUAACCUGCCCUUCAGAGGGGGAUAGCGUUUGGAAACGAACGGUAAUACCGCAUAAUGUAUUUUGACCGCAUGAUCGAAAUACCAAAGAUUUAUCGCUGAAGGAUGGACUCGCGUCUGAUUAGGUAGUUGGUGGGGUAACGGCCUACCAAGCCGACGAUCAGUAGCCGGACUGAGAGGUUGAUCGGCCACAUUGGGACUGAGACACGGCCCAGACUCC
rnacentral:rRNA from 1 species